UCUAGAGCUAAUACAUGCUAUAAUGUUGGGGGAGGCUCGCUAAACCCAGCCGCAUUUAUUAGAAAAUACCAACCGCAUGAGCAAUUGUGCGUGGUGAAUCUAGAUAACUUUGCUGAUCGCAUGGCCUUGUGCUGGCGACAUUUCGAUUGAGUUUCUGCCCUAUCACCUGGAUGCUAGUGUAUUGUACUAGCAUGGGAGUAACGGGUAACGGAGGAUCAGGGUUCGAUCCCGGAGAGGGAGCCUGAGAAACGGCUACCACAUCCAAGGAAGGCAGCAGGCGCGCAAAUUACCCAAUCCAGACAAUGGGAGGUGGUGACGGAGAGUACCGGAUAACUAAAGUAUUUUUAGUUAGUCUGGAAUGAAAUCAAUUUAAGUAAUUGAGUUGAGUAACUACUGGAGGGCAAGCCUGGUGCCAGCAGCCGCGGUAAUUCCAGCUCCAGU
rnacentral:rRNA from 1 species